rnacentral:rRNA from 1 species
GGCUUGUUGAUUUUAAUUUCAAGUUAGGCCUGCCCAGUGAGUAAGCUUAAAUGGCCGCGGUAUUUUGACCGUGCAAAGGUAGCAUAAUCAUUAGUUUUUUAAUUGAAAGCUUGUAUGAAAGGUUAGAUGAAAAAGUUUCUGUCUCUAAAAAAAUUUAUUAGAAUUUUAUUUUUAAGUUAAAAAGCUUAAAUUUACAUAGAAGACGAGAAGACCCUAUAGAGUUUUAUAUUUGCUUUAUUUUUAGAAUUAGGUAUUAAAAUUUAUUUAUUUAUGUAAAUAUUUUGUUGGGGUGAUAGGAAAAUUAGAAGAACUUUUUUGUUUAUAAAAACAUUGAUUUAUGAUUAUAUGAUCUUAUAAUUUAGAUUACAAGAUUAAAUUACCUUAGGGAUAACAGCGUAAUUUUUUUUAGAGUUCUUAUCGAAAGAAAAGAUUGCGACCUCGAUGUUGGAUUAAAGUUUAUUAGUGGUGUAGAAGCUACUAUAUUAGGUCUGUUCGACCUUUAAAAUUUUACAUGAUCUGAGUUUAGACCGGCGUGAG